GGCUUCCGACUUGCUGAGCAGCGCUCUCCACCGUAAUACGGCUGCCUGCGGAACCGGCUGACCGGAAGUGUGGCUGUGGGUGGUUUACCGCCAGACUGUGAUGGUGGCGGGGCACGGCUGCGUGACUGGUUAUAAAGUGGAUGCUAUUAUUGUCCUUAUUCCAGGCAUGUGGAAACUGAGGCACAGAGGAGGUGAGGAAACGGAGGUACAAAGAGAUUAAGAAAUUAACCAAUAUAAAUCAUAGAAAUCGCAAGUGGAAGAAUCAGGAUGUGAACUGUGGACCUUCAGCUCCAGUGCCUCCAUGGCUCUCGGCCAUUAUGCCAUUCAUCUCGGGAGGUGGAAACAGCAUCUGAAUCUGAAGUUUGUUUGCUGUGAGGUGUAAUAGACUCCUCUGCCUUUCUCUCUCUCCCUCUUUCCUUCCUUCCCCAUCAAUUACUUAUCUCUCUGUAACUGAAGCUCCUCGCCACUGAGACAGCUCCGCGGUGCUUCCUGUCCCUGCUUCCUUCACAUCCUCACUUUGACGUUUACAUAUCCACUGCCUCUCAGUUUUUACUGCUGCCUUUCUUGCCAA
rnacentral:lncRNA from 10 species